rnacentral:tmRNA from 1 species
GGGGCUGCACUGGUUUCGACGUGGGUUCGGACACGCAGCAGGGCAUGUCGAGGUUCUGUCACCUCGUAAAACCGCAGAAAAAAACUAACUGCAAACGACGAACGUUUCGCACUCGCCGCUUAAUUGCCGGUGAGCUUUGCAACAGCAGGCCUAUGGGCUGGGCAAGGGUUCAGACGGCGCAAGCCGCGAGAGUCCAGGCUGCAAAGAUAAUUCAAUAG